GACUCUUCUAUUAAGUAGUUCCCGCCUUGAAAGUGGGAUUAGGGCAAAUAAAUGUCCAGGAGUUU
rnacentral:tRNA from 1 species